ensembl:lncRNA
UUUGAAGUCAAUGCAUAUAGAAUGUAUAAUCAUGUUUAGCAUAUAUUGUAUAUUUAUUGAAAAUAUAUUUAUUAAUUAAUAAGUUAACUGAUUCUCACAUUUCAUUUUUAAGAAAGAAAAAAAGAAAGAAAGAAUAAAUAAAUAAAUAAAUACAUUUUCUUACCAAAUCUAAAGAGGAAAUGCUAUUGGCUAUCUUUCAGAAGGGUGUUUCAUACACUGACACAGGGCUGGGUCUGAGGAGGAUUAGUUCAUUUAAGCUCCUUCUGGGCUUUAUGUCAAGAAUAGAACAAUAAGAAGUGGAGCAGUGCCCUGAUAUCAGCUGCUGUUGAUGCAGAUACUGCCUCUUCAUCAUUACUUCUCUAAAGAAUGCACAGUGGAAACGUGACUGACCACCUUAAGUGUACAGGACUGUAGAUGUCAGGCCAUCCAGCAGAAUGAGUCGGAGGAAGAGGAGAAACAGUCGCAGAAGGAAGAGCUCCAGCAGCAGUAAACAAUGCAUCUCUCCGUAUAAUUUUCAGAGGCACACUAUGGUGGACACUGUGGAAACUGCAGAGAAGGGAGAAACUGACUCCUUCUGUAAAGAGCAUAUACUGUCAGUGUCUGAAGACGAGAAAGAGACUGAGACUCCAACCACGGAGAAAGAAAACAGAACAAGGAGUUGUGAAGAUUUCUUCCAGGACAGAAAGAAAAAAGACAGACAAAAGCCAAACUCAGAACCAACAGACAGAGGUCCAGGGUUAAAAAUCACACAUUCUGUGACCAUCGAUAACUUUGGACAGUCUUCUCCCAGAGUUGUGUUCGACCGAUGCAAUGAAGCAUCGGUUAGUAGUGUGAUAGCAGUCACAACCACUGAGGUCAAAUGCAUGACUCCAAAUAUGAAACUUGAGAUCAAUGUCGUGACAUCAGACGAUUCAAAUAUCAAGACCACCUUUAUUCUUCACAACUGCAGAGACAAAAGAGAAGAGGCUCAUUUUAGAACUGAGAAACAUCAGUCUCCAAAAAACACCCACGUGUGUUCAUGGAACCGACAUGGAACAGAUUACAAACAGAAAAUCAGUGAGAAUAUUAGCUAUACGAUUAGCAUUGCAGAGCUAAAUGCAGAGUCAACACAUGAUUCAAAGAGUCAGAGCUCGUGGGAUGAUCCUGAAGAAAUGGCUUGCCGUAAAAGCUGCUGUAAAAAUAACUUCCGUUGGGUAAACACAGGUGGCCAGACGGACACAGAUUUCACACUGGUUGAUGGAUCUUCCUGUUGCUCAUCGCCCUCUGAUUUCUGGCAACAUCAGAAACAGCGCUCACUGCCCAGCAGUCUCAGUAAUGAGGCAUUAUGGGAUAUCCCUCCCCCUGAUGAAUUUGCUGAAAAGAAGGCUAGUGCACUGGAUUUCCUUGCAGAAAAUGUUGCAUCGUGUCAGAUCAGUCCCAGAGAAAGAUUCACUGGCCAUGACAACACAAAUUGCACACAGACAGCAUCUGAGUUUACCAAAGAGUUUACACGCCAGAAUACACUGGAUGGGGACAACAGGACAAAUGUACCCAAGUGCUGUGAACAGCUAUCCAACUCGAGUCCUCUGGAACACUUAUUCAUGAAUCCCAGAGCUUCAAUAAACAGAUCCUCUUUCACUAAAAACUUCAUUGACAAUCACGAAAGGAAGACGCGCUUGCGCAACAACAGCAUCGCCUUCCUAGAAAGCAAUACUAAUCCUGUAGGCUACAUGGACAUUCCUCCCAAAAGACGAAAGACUUACCCGGGACUGACAUAUCAAAUGAGUCAAGCCAGAGAGAGCAUUCCCUCAUACAGAGAGUCGUUUUCCUCUGGCACACUGUCGUCGUUUUUCACGCAGUCCCUUCCCUCUCAGGCAGACAGGAUGGGAAGAUUUUAUGUAGAAGACGAAAGACUCCGUCCACUUGGGAGCCGCAAAUCUUCCAGUAGUAGCAGCUAUAGACCAAGCUCAU